GAAACUCGGCAGCUUCGGUCUAUCUUGACAAAUACCAGCUGCAAAGGGUCACUUGGCCUUCAGGGGAUUUCCUGAAUCAAUGGGAUGCAGCAGCUCUGACAGAGCGAAGCAACACCCCACUGGCCUUGAAGAAAGCAACCAGGAAUGGCUGUUUGGACUGGGGCCCGUUCCUCCCAAUGAUUCCAGCAGAUUUUAUGUUGAUACUUCGUCCUUUAAAAAACAGAAGUCUCCACACAGAGCUGCAGGCCCAAGUUCUGCUGUGGGUUCAUCACCCAGUGGUUACUGGUGGCCGUGAUGUCAAACACUAGCCAGCCCCCAUCAGAUGCUUGGACCUUUUUGGAGUCGAGCAAGAACGUCUCUGCAUCU